GACGAAUGUCAACACGGCCUUGGAUUAAAUCAUUGUAAACAAUCAAAACAAUGAUGGGCUGAAUAAUUUCUGAAAAGAAUUUUCACGUAAAAUUCUGUUCAUUUACAAUCAAGAAAAUUCAAGUCUUGUAGAGAAAUGUAGAGAAUUGGUUAUUCACUUAUUUGUUAGACAAUGUUUGGUGCUGGCUGCUGGGAUGUGAAUCUUUUCAACUAUUGUGAAGAAGAAGAAAAUGUUGAUUAAGAAUCAAGAAAUCUCUUCUUAAUUAAAAUUUAGCCAGAUUUGAAUGGAUUGAAAAGGAAGACGAGGUGUUAAGAUGGCACUCCACUGACAUGGCUGUCCAUCAGACCAAAUUGGUUGUCGCCAGUUGUCACAGUUAAUGUAAAUGGAAACAGUCAUUCAGAUAGAAUUGGAAAACAAAGAAUCAGCCUGGAUCACUAUUGCCCAGACCGAGGAAUGGAACUAGUUCCAGCCCUGGAUGUGGAAGGAGAUUAUAAAGAACCACACAUGCUACGACAACUGAUUGUCACCUCCUAAGUGUGCUUUCCACCCACUAAGCUUUUUCAUGCUGGUCGUGGCUUGCUAACUCUUCUUUCCGAAGCUUUACUGAAUGUGUAGUUCAUGCGAUAUAACAUGGCUUUUGUGUGCAAAUAGCUUGAGGAGAAGCAAGUUCAACCAAACCUCAAAUUUGGUCACAUUUUUGUUGCGUAUGGGUUCCAGGCAGAUUAAAAUUUCCACAACAAAUUCAAGUCGGCUUGGGAAAGCCGGUUGCCUUGUCUUUCUGCGCCGGAAAGUCUGCUUCAUGGGAUAGGUUAACCCAGAUGCAGCUUCAGCCAAUAUUCUUCAUGUAGUGCAUGCUGCCGUAGAAAAGAGGAGUAUUGGGAUCGUUUGUAGCAACCUGGACUGAUUUGGUUGACACAGGAUCGUUACAUUUCGCUUGGCCAGGAUGGAUUUUACAGGCUUGUUUGGCUUGGAAUCAUUCCUUUCAUUAAAAUAUCUGAUGAUAUUCUCCACUCCAAGAAUCAUAUGUUCAACUGAUUAAAUUCCAGGACUACAUUUAAAAUUCGUUUGCCGAACUUUCUUCGCUGUGGGUUUUGAAUGAACCACUUGACAAACGUUUUUCAGUCGGAGCAAUUCUGCCACCAUCCCGACUUCUUUAUCCCAAAAGGAAGGAUCUGUUCACUACCGCUUGCUUUUAGAUCACGACAGUGUUUAUGUAGAUAACCUCAAUAUGAAAUGCGUUGCGCGAACUAUUCGCCAUACAAAAACAAAUGGCACAAACUGCUAACUGAAGAAACCGUUAUUACAGAAUGAGAAGGUAAUCAUUAUUUCAUGAAGACAAUUGCUCUUCAAGCCCUUUUCUGCCGAUUUCCUUCUCUUGGCUUGUCGUAUUUUGAGGGGAAUUCUUUCCAUUGGGAGCAACCAAAAUAACAAUAUUGGUUUGGCUGCCAUCAAUUUGGGUUUCACACUGUCGCUAACCUUACGCCAACUUCAGAUGCAGCUAACAAUCUAACAGCCCAACAGUGAGCGUUUUCAACAGUUGUGGCCUUGUGGGUAGGUACAGCAACAUCAAAACCACCGAAAAGCACUCGAAUGGAUUGAAUAAUAUAACUGCAGCACUGAACACGUCGAUUCUCUGGCUAACGUCGAUACAUCAGAUUAGUAGCAUAUUGAUGUAGAUUUUAUGAAAUCAUUGCAUCUGCAAUCAACUAGUAGCGCUUUCCACAAUGGAACUGAUUUCGAAGGGACACAGUAUUAUUCUUUAGUUUUAAAUCAUUUUUUUAUUUUAUAAAUGCAAAUGUGUGUUUGCAGUUUACGCCAUUUUUAUUACAAGCUAAAAAUAAAAUUAUAUUCUGGGGGUGGUUGAAUAAACUUCGCAUUUAUCGAAUUUCACGCUAACCAUUACGAAAUCGUACUAACAAAAAUGUUGUUUUCUUUAAAUUGCCAACUAGUUGACUGUUUUUUUUUUUAAGAAGCAAACUGUACGUAUAGUACGUCCAAUAUUAUCAGGCUUAAUUUGAUAAUUGGUUUAAAUUUUUAUAAUGACAUUUGCGCAACGAAUUGGGAUUUUCUCUUACUGCGGUACGGUGGGGUUUCCCGAGAAAACGGGAACCCAUUUUAUAAAUAUUAUUUAUUAUUAUUUUAUUAUUAAAUAUUAUAAAACCAUAUAAUAGUUUAUGCUGAUUUUACCUCUGUAUAUUUUUCGUUCUCAGAGACUGUAAACGAACCGUUGGUUUUUUCCCGAAUGUUUGUAGAUUUUGUUUGUUUUUAUGCAGUACACGAAUAUGGUAUGGCGA
rnacentral:lncRNA from 1 species